AUUCCCUUUCAUCCAUAGCAUGGAAGCUCAGCUAUAUAUGGACCCUUCUCAGUGAAGCUAAUACUUGAGGCCAGCAAACGUAGACAACUCUUUCUUUGUGAAGUGCAUUGAUCAUUAGAGGGAGAAAAGAAAAAAUGGCAUCAAUCAAGACUGAGAAGCCUGCUGUUGGUGCUCAACCACCUGCUCAGGCCAAAAAAGAGCCCGCCAAACCUAGCGGGACGACGCCGAAAGCUCCGGGUGCGGCGGCGUCCAAACCGGCCCCUAAGAAGACUGAGCAGAAGCCUCGGGAGCCUAAGAAGAAGGCUGCAGGAACCAAGUAAGCAGGUAGAAUGAGGAUGACAAGGCGUGGGUGUGAAGGGUCCAUGAAAUUCAUGCCAGUCCUCCUUAAAUGUUACAAUUAAUAUUUACAGAAGUUGCUUGUGAUUUGUAUCCUGUACCCAUGUCUGUCUUUUUAGGCUUCCUGUGCUAAAUAAAAAUAAAUAAAUAUAUUUGAAUAAAGAGUUUGCCUAUGGUUUUGUU